GCCAGUAUAAGAAAUUCAAGAUUCACAUUAGACACACUAUAUCGGCCAAUAUAAACUUCGUGUCUGAUGGCUUGAACCAACAGACGGACUCACGAAUCAGAUCUUGUUACGAUCUUAUCAGCGAUCGUCAAUGAAGACACAGAUGUGACUCUCCCAUACUUAGCGGACAGCUGAAUAUGCCACACCAAGAAAGUUAGAAUAAAGUACGGUAAUAUGAAUUCAACAACUAAAGAACAAGGAAGUUGUAGAGUACCAUGAGGCUCCUGUGUCAUAUCGCGGCGGAGUUAUGGUUUUUGGAGUUGUGUAAUGCCCUCACUGAUCAGACUGUGAAUGAGACCACAGAGAGUCACUACGUAUCGCCGGACUCGGACGAACUCAACAUCCUAUUCGGAGUAUUCACUCUAAUGCUAAUCAUUGCCUUCAUGUCUGGCGUCGCUUUGUGCAUCGUCAAAGGAAACCAGAUGGAGGAAGCGAAUGAAGAUGAUAAUGAAAAUACAGACGACAUCACAGAGAAAACACUUUUGACGGCAUCGUCGUGAUAUCAGAUACUAUGAUUCCCAGAUGAUUUACAAAUCAUCUAUUAUUAUAUAGAUAAACCUGUGUUUUUGUUAUUUGAUAACCCGAUUCAAGAUUGUGUGAUAGAGAAAUUGUAACAUUGUGGUCCAAGACAUUAAAGAUAGUCUAUCUGUCCCUAACUUAAACUGCUAAAAUACUAUGUUGCGAAAUGUGAAAUUAUAAUGUCAUGCGUACUUGAUCUUGAGUUGUUGUGAUUAACAGUGAUUUUUUUAAACAACCCAAUACUGGAAUUUUAAGAUUAUUGUUUUGUUAUGAUUAGUCAAAUACCGGUAUGAUACCAUGCAGUGUUGUAAUGGAUGUGGUAUUCUGAAUGAACUUUGAGCAACAAUAAACCGCAUAUUGGAUCGUAAAA